rnacentral:rRNA from 1 species
GUGGCAGCCGCCGCGGUAACACCGGCAGCUCAAGUGGUAGCCGCUUUUAUUGGGCCUAAAGCGUCCGUAGCCGGUCUGAUAAGUCUCUGGUGAAAUCCCACAGCUUAACUGUGGGAAUUGCUGGAGAUACUAUCAUGACUCGAGGUCGGGAGAGGCUGGAGGUACUCCCAGGGUAGGGGUGAAAUCCUGUAAUCCUGGGAGGACCACCUGUGGCGAAGGCGUCCAGCUGGAACGAACCUGACGGUGAGGGACGAAAGCCAGGGGCGCGAACCGGAUUAGAUACCCGGGUAGUCCUGGCCGUAAACGAUGUGGACUUUUGUGGUGGGCAUGGCUUCGAGCUUGCGCCC